GGGCGUGCUCAGCAAAUACACCAACCUCCUCCAGGGCUGGCAGAACAGGUACUUCGUACUGGAUUUCGAGGCUGGCAUCCUGCAGUAUUUUGUGAAUGAGCAAAGCAAACACCAGAAGCCUCGAGGAGUCCUGUCUUUAUCUGGAGCCAUAGUGUCCCUGAGCGAUGAAGCUCCCCACAUGCUGGUGGUGUACUCUGCUAAUGGAGAGAUGUUUAAACUGAGAGGUGCGUUCUUCUCCCGGUAACUUUUCAGACAGGCCUCUAGUUGCCAAGGUGAUGGCUCUCUUGGUUUUCGAUUUUUUGUUUUUUUAAAUUGCCUCUGACAGUUUGCUGUGUUUGGAGGACUCUGUGGUGACACACAUUGCCUCUCUUAUCCCUGGGGUGGGGAGAUGGAGCUGACAUUAGGAAUUACUUGUCCUAAUUAACUGAGGAAUUAAGGACAAAGGAAAGGUGAGUGAUUCCCAAAGCAGUGCG
rnacentral:sRNA from 1 species